rnacentral:lncRNA from 1 species
UGACUGUCAGGCCACCUUAAGCCACAGUACGGAAGAAGCUGUGCUGCCUGUGAGCCCCGUCCAAGGACGUUAAAAGAAGAAGUCAGGCCCCAAAGCCACGGUUUGAGCAAACCGUGCUGCCUGUAGCUCCGUCGUGGGGACGUAAAAACCUGGGAGGCUGCAAACUGUGGAAGCUGUACGCACAGUGUAGCAGACUAGUGGUUAGAGGAGACCCCUCCCAUGACACAACGCAGCAGCGGGGCCCGAGCACUGAGGGAAGCUGUACCUCCU